CCCGGUGACUUACUCUUGAGGAAACACACGUUCCCAUUCCGAACACGACCGUUAAGCUCUUGAGACCGAUGAUAGUGCCGAAAGGUGUGAAAGUAGGUUAUUGCCGGGA
rnacentral:rRNA from 1 species